rnacentral:lncRNA from 1 species
UAUGAAUUUGACUUGAAUAAUUCCAUCAAAAUAUUAAAAAGGAUUCAAUCUAAGAAAAAACUUCAUUUAUUGUAAAAACCUUCAAAACUUUGAUCUUGUUCCAUCAAACUUCUUUGGCACACUUAUCCUUAUCUCCUUUAUACUUUUAGUAGUAAUGCUUUUUGAAUUUGAUUAUGAACUUGAUUUACUUGCUUCUCUUAAUUGCACAACUUUGUGGCAUAGUCUUUUAAUUUUAUUUUUGACUUCUUCUAUGGGCAUAGAAAUAAUACUUCUAUAAUUCACAUUGGACAUACGUGAAAUUUCUACCCCAAAAGUAUUGACAAGUAUAUGAAGAUUUGUAAUACUUGCAAAUCUAUUUUCACUUUUAUCUAGAGAAGC